GAUGAACGCUGGCGGCGUGCCUAAUACAUGCAAGUAGAACGCUGAAGGAGGAGCUUGCUCUUCUGGAUGAGUUGCGAACGGGUGAGUAACGCGUAGGUAACCUGCCUGGUAGCGGGGGAUAACUAUUGGAAACGAUAGCUAAUACCGCAUGACAACAGUUAUUGCAUGAUAACUGUUUAAAAGGGGCAACUGCUCCACUACCAGAUGGACCUGCGUUGUAUUAGCUAGUUGGUGAGGUAACGGCUCACCAAGGCGACGAUACAUAGCCGACCUGCGAGGGUGAUCGGCCACACUGGGACUGAGACACGGCCCAGACUCCUACGGGAGGCAGCAGUAGGGAAUCUUCGGCAAUGGACGGAAGUCUGACCGAGCAACGCCGCGUGAGUGAAGAAGGUUUUCGGAUCGUAAAGCUCUGUUGUAAGAGAAGAACGAGUGUGAGAGUGGAAAGUUCACACUGUGACGGUAUCUUACCAGAAAGGGACGGCUAACUACGUG
rnacentral:rRNA from 1 species